CAGUCGCCGCGGUAAUACGGAGGGAGCUAGCGUUGUUCGGAAUUACUGGGCGUAAAGCGCACGUAGGCGGCUACUCAAGUCGGGGGUGAAAGCCCGGGGCUCAACCCCGGAACUGCCCUCGAAACUAGGUAGCUAGAAUCUUGGAGAGGUCAGUGGAAUUCCGAGUGUAGAGGUGAAAUUCGUAGAUAUUCGGAAGAACACCAGUGGCGAAGGCGACUGACUGGACAAGUAUUGACGCUGAGGUGCGAAAGCGUGGGGAGCAAACAGGAUUAGAUACCCCUGUAGUCCCUGUCUCUUAUAC
rnacentral:rRNA from 1 species